rnacentral:tRNA from 2 species
GGACAGAUGGCCGAGCUGGUUAUGGCGCCAGGUUAAGGUGGUUGCUUUAUUCCUGGUCACGAAAGUGGCGUGGGUUCGAGUCCCACUCUGUUCA